GACGAACGCUGGCGGCGUGCCUAAUACAUGCAAGUCGAGCGGAUCUUGAAAAGCUUGCUUUUCCUGAUCAGCGGCGGACGGGUGAGUAACACGUGGGCAACCUGCCUGUAAGACUGGGAUAACUCCGGGAAACCGGGGCUAAUACCGGAUAAUCCUUUUCCUCUCAUGAGGAAAAGCUGAAAGACGGUUUCGGCUGUCACUUACAGAUGGGCCCGCGGCGCAUUAGCUAGUUGGUGAGGUAACGGCUCACCAAGGCGACGAUGCGUAGCCGACCUGAGAGGGUGAUCGGCCACACUGGGACUGACACACGGCCCAGACUCCUACGGGAGGCAGCAGUAGGGAAUCUUCCGCAAUGGACGAAAGUCUGACGGAGCAACGCCGCGUGAGCGAUGAAGGCCUUCGGGUCGUAAAGCUCUGUUGUCAGGGAAGAACAAGUGCCAUAGUAACUGAUGGCACCUUGACGGUACCUGACCAGAAAGCCACGGCUAACUACGUGCCAGCCGCCGCGGUAACAC
rnacentral:rRNA from 1 species